rnacentral:rRNA from 1 species
UGCUUCGGUAUGGGAGCGUACACAGGUGCUGCAUGGCUGUCGUCAGCUCGUGUCGUGAGAUGUGGGUUAAGUCCCGCAACGAGCGCAACCCUGCAUCCAGUUGCCAUCGGGCGAGCCGGGCACUCUGGAGGGACUGCCGGCGACAAGCCGGAGGAAGUGGGGAUGACGUCAAGUCAUCAUGGCCUUUAUGUCCAGGGCGACACACGUGCUACAAUGGCCGGCACAGCGGGAAGCGGAGGGGCGACCCUGAGCGGAUCCCUUGAAAGCCGGUCCCAGUUCGGAUUGCAGUCUGCAACUCGACUGCAUGAAGUUGGAAUCGCUAGUAAUCGCGGAUCAGCCAAGCCGCGGUGAAUACGUUCCCGGGCCUU